UUGGGGAAGGGAGAAGCCCACACCAUUCUCAUUGUGGUGGUUAGGAGGAAGCAGAAAGAAUUUAGCAGCUCCGAGUGGCUCUGUUCCCUCCACUGCACUCCCCUCAUGUGAACAGUGCAUCAUUCUGCUCUUUGUUCCUCUCCAUUCCCCUCUACAAGCAACUUUGCUUCUCCCCUCCCCCUCCCUGUCUGUCCUGGCAACAACCAGCAUGGAGAGGAGAAGAGGGGAGUGAAGAACCCCAGGAGUUGCUGCCCCCCUCUGGAGCAGGGACCAGAGGGAGGACCCUUGCUUUGACCAGAAAUCCAAUGCAACCAAGACCAUAUCAAACUAUCCUACAGCAAGGAAAACAGAAGCACAAGAUUAUGACACAGGGAAAUCGUGAACUGGAAGUGUUACAGAGCAAUGAUGGGGAAAUGAAGGCAGUGAUGCCAAAUAGCCCAGAUGGGAAAGAGAGCCUCCAUCAACUGCAUAACUUCUAGUUAAGUUAAAGCACAUCUUUUUAGGAAGACUAUCAAAGUUUAUUUAAGGACUUCAAGUGAUGGUGAAUACAUCACUUCUUUCUUUGGUUUUUUUCAGACCCCAGAUCAUUUGUGUGGCUCUCUUGAAAGACUGGAAAGAGUUCAGAACAUCCUCUUUGAAGUAAGGACACCAGAACUGGACACAAUAUUCCCGUGAGGUUCUCACCAAUGCCAUAUAUGGAGGUAGUUUCACUUCUGUACUUCUACUCAAUAUUCUCAUGUUUAUAUCUCCAAAGGUCACAUUAGCCAUCUUAGCCACAGCAUUACACUGGCAACUAAUGUUGAGUUGAUUGUCCUACAUGUCUAGCAACUCUUCAAAAUCACUGCUU